rnacentral:rRNA from 1 species
AGUGAACGCUGGCGGUAGGCCUAACACAUGCAAGUCGAACGGCAGCACAGUAAGAGCUUGCUCUUACGGGUGGCGAGUGGCGGACGGGUGAGGAAUACAUCGGAAUCUACUUUUUCGUGGGGGAUAACGUAGGGAAACUUACGCUAAUACCGCAUACGACCUACGGGUGAAAGCAGGGGAUCUUCGGACCUUGCGCGAUUGAAUGAGCCGAUGUCGGAUUAGCUAGUUGGCGGGGUAAAGGCCCACCAAGGCGACGAUCCGUAGCUGGUCUGAGAGGAUGAUCAGCCACACUGGAACUGAGACACGGUCCAGACUCCUACGGGAGGCAGCAGUGGGGAAUAUUGGACAAUGGGCGCAAGCCUGAUCCAGCCAUACCGCGUGGGAGAAGAAGGCCUUCGGGUUGUAAAGCCCUUUUGUUGGGAAAGAAAAGCAGCAGGUUAAUACCCCGCUGUUCUGACGGUACCCAAGGAAUAAGCACCGGCUAACUUCGUG